ACUUGUUUAGUAUAAUAAAAUGUACACCUAAUUUCCACUUAGGAAGUUCUUUUAGAAGCAAGGA
rnacentral:tRNA from 1 species